UCAAGUACAACCUGUUGGCAGAAACAGACGUGCAAUAUUUAACUCACUUUAAUUAAAAUAUAUUUUAGUGGAUUUUUUUUCCUGCGACAUAACUCAUCUUGAUGGGAACCCAUUGGAUUUUAAUGGGAAACCUAUUAGAGGAACAUAUUGUGAUCUUUAAUGAAGCCGGGCUGCUUGGAGAACCACCUACAGUAAAGCCAGAGUGCCUCUACUGACGUCUCCUCAGUUCCAGAUCCCUCCCAGAGCCCAUGGUGUGGGUGACCCUGCCCGGAGAUAGAAGAGACUGCCAUCCUAGGGCUCCUGCCCCAUUCCCAGGAGGAAGGAAUGCUCCAGAGAGGCCAAGAGGAAUCUGCACAGAGGGGCCUCGGACGUUCCUGUUCCGUCUGUAGAAUCAGAGCCGCCCUGGUGUGCUCACGCUGCCCUGGGGGUGUGCGUUCUCAGACCUGCAUGUGGAAACGGUUUCCCCAGGGUCUGAGCCUUCGUUUCUGAAGAUCCCCAUAUCCCAUAAAACUUCCAUCAAAUAAACUGAUGAUACUUUUCUCUCGUUAA